GCCAGGCAUGGUGGUGUGCGCCUGUAAUCCCAGCUACUUGGGAGGCUGAGGCAGGAGAACCGCUUGAACCCAGGAGAUGGAGGUUGCAGUGAGCUAAGAUGACGCCACUGCACUUCAACCUGGGUGACAGAGCGAGACUCUGUCUCAC
rnacentral:SRP_RNA from 1 species